rnacentral:lncRNA from 1 species
ACUCUCCCUCUCUGCAAAACCAUCUUUCCAUUUCUCCCACAACCAUACUCUCUCUCGCUUCUCUUGCAAAACCAUCUUUCUAUCUCUCUCAUACAACCAUACUCUCUCUCUUCUUUAGUUGCUGCAAAAUUCUCUCUCUUCUUUAGUUUCUACAAAUAUCUCUCUCUCUUCUUUACUUUCUGCAAAUCUCUCUCUCUCUUCUUUAGUUUCUACAAAUCUCUCUCUCUUCUUUAGUUUCUACAAAUCUCUCUCUCUUCUUUAGUUGCUGCAAAAUUCUCUCUCUUCUUUAGUUUCUACAAAUCUCUCUCUCUCUUCUUUAGUUUCUACAAAUCUCUCUCUUCUUUAGUUUCUACAAAUCUCUCUUCUUUAGUUUCUACAAAUCUCUCUCUCUUCUUUAGUUUCUACAAAUCUCUCUCUCUCUCUUCUUCAGUUGUUGCAAAG